UACUGGCAGACAAAAAAUGUUUUACUAUCCAAAGUUAAAACAACAAGGGCAGAAGAUUUAAUAGAUGGAAAGAUCAAAAACAUUACUGAAGUCCCGAUAUAAAAGUAUAGAGACUUUUGUGGUUUAGGUUUUGUCUAUUAUAAAAUUAUUUAUCGAUACAACUUUCAGUGCAAUAAAAAUGCAAAUCAAUUCAUAGCAACAGCUGCAAAAUUA